rnacentral:misc_RNA from 1 species
AUUUUUUUAUCAUAGAUGGACAAAAUUUGGGGACAGGUUUUGUUGUUGAUAUUCAUCGUGUCUUUGAAAUAUAAAUGAUCUGCCAUAUGGUUCACUUUGACACUUUUGAAAGGCCUAUUGUUCACCGAGGACAGCUGGAUAUUUGUUCAAAAGCAAUGGCUGAAUGCAUGAAACGAUAAUCCUGAGAAAUUAAUGAUCACUUGACCAUGGCUCUAAAGAAGAUGAUGUAAUUUACUGUUAGAGAGAGAUUGAGGGAGGAGAAGAGAUUGGU